rnacentral:rRNA from 1 species
GAUGAACGCUGGCUACAGGCUUAACACAUGCAAGUCGAGGGGAAACGACGGGGAAGCUUGCUUCCCCGGGCGUCGACCGGCGCACGGGUGAGUAACGCGUAUCCAACCUGCCUCUGACUGAGGGAUAACCCGUCGAAAGUCGGCCUAAUACCUCAUGGCAUCGUCUGCGGGCAUCCAACGACGAUUAAAGAUUUCAUCGGUCAGGGAUGGGGAUGCGUCUGAUUAGCUUGUUGGCGGGGUAACGGCCCACCAAGGCUACGAUCAGUAGGGGUUCUGAGGGGAAGGUCCCCCACAUUGGAACUGAGACACGGUCCAAACUCCUACGGGAGGCAGCAGUGAGGAAUAUUGGUCAAUGGGCGGGAGCCUGAACCAGCCAAGUAGCGUGCAGGAUGACGGCCCUAUGGGUUGUAAACUGCUUUUAUGCGGGGAUAAAGUGAGGGACGUGUCCUUCAUUGCAGGUACCGCAUGAAUAAGGACCGGCUAAUUCCGUG